GCGACCCCAGGAUGGGCGAGGAAACCCGCCGAGUUUAAG
rnacentral:rRNA from 14 species